rnacentral:rRNA from 1 species
AUUGAACGCUGGCGGCAGGCCUAACACAUGCAAGUCGAGCGGUAGAGAGAAGCUUGCUUCUCUUGAGAGCGGCGGACGGGUGAGUAAUGCCUAGGAAUCUGCCUGAUAGUGGGGGAUAACGUCCGGAAACGGACGCUAAUACCGCAUACGUCCUACGGGAGAAAGUGGGGGCUCUUCGGACCUCACGCUAUCAGAUGAGCCUAGGUCGGAUUAGCGAGUUGGUGGGGUAAAGGCUCACCAAGGCGACGAUCCGUAACUGGUCUGAGAGGAUGAUCAGUCACACUGGAACUGAGACACGGUCCAGACUCCUACGGGAGGCAGCAGUGGGGAAUAUUGGACAAUGGGCGAAAGCCUGAUCCAGCCAUGCCGCGUGUGUGAAGAAGGUCUUCGGAUUGUAAAGCACUUUAAGUUGGGAGGAAGGGUCGUUACCUAAUACGUGGCGAUUUUGACGUUACCGACAGAAUAAGCACCGGCUAACUCUGUGCCAGCAGCCGCCGUAAUAC